UGAUCGACAAACUGAUAAGAAAUCUAUACCAAAAUUCUUCACUAGAACUGUAAAAACUCUUAUAUGCAUGCUUUAAUUAAUUUAAUUUUAUUAUUUACUUAUUGUAGACACGGCAGCUAAGUCAUCCACUAGACCAGUUGCAGUUAUGGCAGGCCACACACCAAUCUAGGAGGAUUGGUAACUAUUUAGAUUCCACAUCGCGAUAGAUUGUGGUAAUAACUUCAAAUUUUAUUUAUUAAUUAAGUUGUUACAGGAUCUGAUUUUUAUAUUAGAACUUAUAUAUUUUUGAAUUGUGCAAAUGCAUUACGUGGCGUACGUUACUGAGAGGUACAGUGAUGACCUAUCUUCUCAGCCCUCUUUGAUUUUGAGGGAUGGCUCAGCACCACCGAGGGGUGAGUAGGAAUCGGAUCAUAAGAUUCAACCACAGCUUCGACUCUCCACUGGCUCGAUACCUUUUGACAUCCUUACAAGCCUCGACAUCCUAGACCU
rnacentral:lncRNA from 1 species